UGGGGAAUAUUGGACAAUGGGGGCAACCCUGAUCCAGCCAUGCCGCGUGUGUGAAGAAGGCCUUUUGGUUGUAAAGCGCUUUAAGCAGGGAGGAGAGGCUAAUGGUUAAUACCCAUUAGAUUAGACGUUACCUGCAGAAUAAGCACCGGCUAACUCUGUGCCAGCAGCCGCGGUAAUACAGAGGGUGCGAGCGUUAAUCGGAAUUACUGGGCGUAAAGCGAGUGUAGGUGGCUCAUUAAGUCACAUGUGAAAUCCCCGGGCUUAACCUGGGAACUGCAUGUGAUACUGGUGGUGCUAGAAUAUGUGAGAGGGAAGUAGAAUUCCAGGUGUAGCGGUGAAAUGCGUAGAGAUCUGGAGGAAUACCGAUGGCGAAGGCAGCUUCCUGGCAUAAUAUUGACACUGAGAUUCGAAAGCGUGGGUAGCAAACAGGAUUAGAUACCCUGGUAGUCCACGCCGUAAAACGAUGUCUACUAGCCGUUGGGGUCCUUGAGACUUUAGUGGCGCAGUUAACGCGAUAAGUAGACCGCCUGGGGAGUACGGCCGC
rnacentral:rRNA from 1 species